GUAUACUUCUGGCCCAAUUUCUUCUUCUUUUCUGAGAAUAUAUAAUUACUAUUUGAUGUAGAUUUUUUAUGUUAGCCAUAGACAAUCCUUAAUUGAAAAAUCAUUUAGACAAUCUCUCAAACUUUAAGUUAAUUUUCUAUGCCACGUUUUCUUAACUCAUCAAAAUAUGCAUCAUAUUGAUUUUCAAUUAAUUUAUUUUGAAAUGAAUGAAAUAAAAAUGUGAAAAAAGUUAUCCAGAAUGAAACAACAGUAUAGGAUGAUUAACAAGAUUAACAUAUUAGUCAAUAUAUAAUUCCACUGCUAUAUUGCCAUAUCUAUGGAACUGUUGUGAUAUGUUCAUUCUACUAAAUCCUAAUAUUUAAAAAAAAGAAAAGAAAAAUGACCUCCAGUACAUAUAGAAAAUUGGCUGCUUUAGUAUGCAUUAACUAAUUUUGAAGAAAUAGCAAAGAAAUGCUCAAACUUUCUUUGUUUUAUUAAAACUAUGCUGUAUUGUGUUAGACUAUUGAAAAACAAAACAAAUAGGGACCUGUAUUCUUUGAACUGAUGAGCUUCUUGAAAAUAGAAUAAAUACCCCUGGCAUUGGACUUUUAAUAUGGUAUUGUUUAAAGGAGCACUUUUGCCUAGCAAAAUUAGAAAGGAUUUUUUAUUUUUUCAUCCUCUAUAUAUGCUGUUCCUUUCUCCAGAAGACAAGCCAAUGGUAUGUGAAAGAGCUUUAAAUUUUUCACUCAAAAUAAUCAUGUAGAGAUAAAAAAGAACAGACCUUCUAUUAUAUCACCAGUCUAAGACAAACAUGCGUUUUAACUUCACCCUCAACAGAAUAAGCUCUUGUGGCCUUAGUGCUUAUCAUGCAUUGUCAGUAGGGAAAGAAAAUCACAAUGAAGAACAAAACAUUUUCAACUUUUAAAAACUAAAAGAGGGAAAAUUUAAGGCAGAACUAAAUUAAGUAGCAAUAAAUUAGGACUGCUUUAGUUGGUGGUUUCCAAUAAGCUCUAGAGCCACUUCCUUUCACCAAGUACAUGAGUGUUGCUUCAGCUAUCAUUCCUUUAAUUCAUGUCCUUUCUCUCUCUAGAAAAACUCAUAUAUUCAUUAUCCUAGGAAUAUCAGGUUUGCAAAGCUGGACCAAACUAAAGACUCUUCGAGGUGCACUUUGGCUUCUUAAAAGAGCUACCAAGAUUUUGGCUGAGGCACCUGACUUAAAACUCAGCAGUGUCUAAAGCAUUGCUGAGCACAUGGAAGACACUCAAUAAAUACUUGUUUAAUGGAAUUGAAUUUGUAAGCACCAGAGACUCAUGCUUCCUUUUCACAUAGCUUGACACUUGGCUGCCCAGGAUCCUUGCAUGCAAGGUGAUGGAGUCUUGGCUGUCACUCAGGCUGGAGUGCAGUAGUGUGAUCUUGGCUCACUGCAAGCUCCGCCUCCCAGGUACAAGUGAUUCUCCUGCCUCAGCCUCCCGAGUAGCUGGAACUACAGGAUCUCAUCCAGGAUACCACAUUACAUUUAGCAGUCAUGUCUCUUUAGUCUUCUCUUUACU